rnacentral:rRNA from 1 species
CGAGAAGUCCACUGAACCUUAUCAUUUAGAGGAAGGAGAAGUCGUAACAAGGUUUCCGUAGGUGAACCUGCGGAAGGAUCAUUGUCGAGAACCGAUGACCACCGGUGAACUUGUCCCUUUGCUCAUCCGUUCGUCGUUGCCGACCCGGCGCCCUCUAACCGUCGACAUCGGUCGCUCGCGUUGAGUGCUGCUGGAUGCAAGCGAAUGAACCGGCAACCAACAUCUCGGCGCAGCACGCGCCAAGGACUCGUUGAAGGAACGGUGGCGUGCCCUGGGCGUUCGGUGACGGAAUGCUCGGGGUCCUGCCGUGCGUUUUCGAAUGGAAAUAUGACUCUCGGCAGCGGAUAUCUCGGCUCUCGCAUCGAUGAAGGACGUAGCGAAAUGCGAUACUUGGUGUGAAUUGCAGAAUCCAGUGAACCAUCGAGUCUUCGAACGCAAGUUGCGCCCGAGGCCUCUAGGCCGAGGGCACGCCUGCCUGGGCGUCUUCCACUGCGUCGCUCCCCCCCAUGCAAAAUGGGCAUAUGGUUGGAUGCGUACGGUUGGCCUCCCGCGGCGCUGCAUGUCGCACGGCUGGCUGAAAGGCACGUCAUGGCGUACGGCGUGGCACGACGAGUGGUGGUUCGGCUACUUGGCCGGAAUACGUCGUGUUGUGACCUCGCCGCCGCACGUCUGAGUGGGAAUCUUGGGACCACGGUUGCCCUUGAGUUCGGGCGAAUGGACUGCGACCCCAGGUCAGGCGGGGCCACCCGCUGAGUUUAAGCAUAUCAAUAAGCGGA